UUGAUUUCCUAGGCUAUUCUUGCCUUUCCAAUCAAUUCCCAGUGUGGAUAUUUUACAUGUUAGUGGCUCCAGACAUAUCCAGAGGGACCCAAGAAUGUCGUGACCGCUUGAGUUGAAAAAACAAAGUAGGUGAUAAAAGGCUGAGGACUGAUAAUCACUUCCUGCUAAAGAAGCUGUCAUCUCCACAUCUUAUUGUUUGCAAAUAUUAGAUCGUUCACUGAAACACUUCUUCUGAAUCCAGUCUCACCCAACCAUUCUGUGGGAGCGCUCGUUAGUCAUUUUAUAAUUGAUUUGUAAAACAUGAACAUCAGAAUUGGUAACAUUUUUCACUCCGGUCUGAGAGUGGAAGAACAUGUGAUUUUAGGAACAUAAUGAGGAUGGAGUCUUCAGCGAGGAAAAGAUGGACAAACCUCCAUCCAGUCACAAAGAUGUCAGGACCAAGAAGCAAGGCAAAGGAAAGACCUUCACAGGCUUGUCAAUGACAGAUGGGAAGGAUAUUGAAUGUGAAAUCAAGAAAAAUUUCUCUGUCUUGGACUUCGGCCUCAUCUGUCUCCACCUCCCACUGCAGCUCCUGACCUCUGUUACCCAGCGCCCUCCUUCUCGGCUCUCCGUCUCUGACCUCACCGACUUGCCUCACCAUUAUCCCACUGCAAGCUUCUGACCAGCCGCUCUGCCCAAGGGUCUCUCAAAUGGUACUUACUGAGUGCCUUCUGUGGGCAGAGUUCCUACACUGAGCGCUUGGGAGAGAACAAUGAAUCGGGAGAGAACACAUAAUAACAAUGGUAUUGGCUAAGAGCUUACUGUGUGCCAAGUGCUGUACUAAAUGCUAGGGUGAAUACGAAUUCAAAAUGUUAAUUAAUGUUUAAUGAUUUAUCAUUAAAUAAUUCAAAAUAUACUGAUAUGUGGUAAACUAGGAAAUAUGAAAGGAAAUUUUAAUUUAUCCAGGUGAAUCUCAGUAUGACGUUUUCAGUUCUGCAGACAUUUUUCUUUGAUUACCAUCCUGAUGCCCACACUUAAAUACAAUUUCUCAAAAGAGAACACUUUGCAAGUGUUUCAGUAGCUUGUCAUAGAUGUUCAAGUAAGAGAUUGUGGCCAACUUUUGUUUUAAUUCUAUGCUAACCUUACUGGUUCUUCAUGUUUCAAGGCUGAAUAGAGUCAGUACUCAGUAUACUGACUCUCUCUCUAUGUGUGUGUGCGUGUGUGUGUAUGUAUUUCAAAGAUGACAUUACCAAUGGCUUAAAAGACUGAUGUGUGAGACACAAACCUCACCACACUGUAUGAAAGUGAAGCAGUAUGGUCUAGUGGAAAGAGCACAGGCUUGGGAAUCAGAGGACCUGAGUUGUAAUUCCAGCUCUGCCACUUGCUUGCUGUGUGACCUUAGGUGAGUCACUCAACUUGCCUGUGCCUCAGUUUCCUCAUCUGUAAAAUGAAGUUUAAAUAACUGUUCUCCUUUUCCCUCAGGCUGUGAGCCCCACGUGGGACUAAAGCUGUAUCUCUCUUGAUUUCACUAUAUCUACAUUAACCUUUAGUACAGUGCUUUGCACAUUGUAAAUGUUUAUUUUUAUUAUUAUAUAGAAACUAUUAGUAGUAGUGAUGAUAGCAAUUAUUAUCUUGUUAGCUUAAAAACAUGUUACUUCUUGAAGUUAUCAAAUUCUUAUUGCUAUGGUACUAUUAUUACUAUUUUUAGCAGUACUAGUAAUAUUAUUAUCAUUAUUAUUAUUAAGUAUGCUCAUUCUUUUUGGCAAUUUAUGUUCAGAGAAAUUAAAUUCCUUUGCCAUGUUACCCGGAAAAUAUAUUUCUAUUAAAGAAC
rnacentral:lncRNA from 1 species